CCUGCCCACUGAUUAAUUGAAUGGCCGCAGUAUUUUGACUGUGCAAAGGUAGCAUAAUCAUUAGUUUUUUAAUUAAAAGCUUGUAUGAAGGGUUGGACGAGAUAAAAUCUGUCUCUAUUUAAUUUAUUUUAGAAUUUAAUUUUUAAGUUAAAAAGCUUAAAUUAUUAUAAAAGACGAGAAGACCCUAUAGAUCUUUAUAUUAUUUAUAAAUAAUUUUAAUUAAGAAUAUUUUAUUUUUUAUUUAUGUUAAUAUUUUAUUGGGGUAAUAAAGAGAUUAAAUAAAUUCUUUUUAAUAUUUAAUACUAAUUAGUAAUUUUAUGAUCCAGUAUUUCUGAUUAAAAGAUUAAGUUACCUUAGGGAUAACAGCGUAAUUUUUUUUGAGAGUUCAUAUCGAUAAAAAAGUUUGCGACCUCGAUGUUGGAUUAAAAAUUGUUCUAGGUGCAGAAGUUUAGAAAUUUGGUCUGUUCGACCAUUAAAUUUUU
rnacentral:rRNA from 1 species